UUGUUGGUCAUUUUUCCAUCCAACAACUUCAAAACCAAUUGAUAAGAUUCAUCCGUAAACCAAUUUAUCAAUUGGUUUUGAAGUUGUUGGAUGGAAAAAUGACCAACAA
rnacentral:pre_miRNA from 1 species